AUACGGAGGGGGCUAGCGUUGUUCGGAAUUACUGGGCGUAAAGCGCACGUAGGCGGAUUAAAAAGUUAGAGGUGAAAUCCCAGGGCUCAACCCUGGAACUGCCUUUAAAACUAGUAGUCUAGAGUUCGAGAGAGGUGAGUGGAAUUCCAAGUGUAGAGGUGAAAUUCGUAGAUAUUUGGAGGAACACCAGUGGCGAAGGCGGCUCACUGGCUCGAUACUGACGCUGAGGUGCGAAAGCGUGGGGAGCAAACAGGAUUAGAAACCCCAGUAGUCC
rnacentral:rRNA from 1 species